AUGCUCGCUUUGGCAGCACAUAUACUAAAAUUGCAACGAUACAGAGAAGAUUAGCAUGGCCCCUGCAGAAGAUGACACACAAAUUCGUGAAGCUUUCCAUACUUUU